GGGCGCUUAGCUCAGCGGUAGAGCACUACCUUGACAUGGUAGGGGUCACAGGUUCGAACCCUGUAGUGCCCACCA
rnacentral:tRNA from 10 species